rnacentral:rRNA from 1 species
AUUGAACGCUGGCGGAAUGCUUUACACAUGCAAGUCGAGCGGCAGCGCGGGGCAACCUGGCGGCGAGCGGCGAACGGGUGAGUAAUACAUCGGAACGUGCCCAGACGUGGGGGAUAACUACUCGAAAGAGUGGCUAAUACCGCAUACGAUCUAAGGAUGAAAGCGGGGGAUCGCAAGACCUCGCGCGUCUGGAGCGGCUGAUGUCGGAUUAGCUAGUUGGUGGGGUAAAGGCCCACCAAGGCGACGAUCCGUAGCUGGUCUGAGAGGAUGAUCAGCCACACUGGGACUGAGACACGGCCCAGACUCCUACGGGAGGCAGCAGUGGGGAAUAUUGGACAAUGGGCGAAAGCCUGAUCCAGCCAUGCCGCGUGAGUGAUGAAGGCCUUAGGGUUGUAAAGCUCUUUCAGUGGGGAUGAUAAUGACAGUACCCACAGAAGAAGCCCCGGCUAACUUCGUGCCAGCAGCCGCGGUAAA